rnacentral:rRNA from 1 species
GAUGAACGCUAGCUACAGGCUUAACACAUGCAAGUCGAGGGGUAACGAGAGGAAAGCUUGCUUUCCUUGUCGACGACCGGCGCACGGGUGAGUAACGCGUAUCCAACCUGCCCCCAACUAGGGAAUAACCUUGCGAAAGUAAGACUAAUACCCUAUAAUUUCCUCAGAUGUCAUCUGACGAGGAAUAAAGAUUUAUCGGUUGUGGAUGGGGAUGCGUCUGAUUAGCUUGUUGGCGGGGUAACGGCCCACCAAGGCAACGAUCAGUAGGGGUUCUGAGGGGAAGGUCCCCCACAUUGGAACAGAGACACGGUCCAAACUCCUCCGGGAGGCAGCAGUGAGGAAUAUUGGUCAAUGGGCGGAAGCCUGAACCAGCCAAGUAGCGUGCAGGAUGACGGCCCUAUGGGUUGUAAACUGCUUUUAUACAGGAAUAAAGUUAGCCACGUGUGGUUAUUUGUAGGUACUGUAUGAAUAAGGACCGGCUAAUUCCGUGCCAGCCGCCGCAGUAA